GGUCUGUUGGUCUAGUGGUAUGAUUCUUGCUUAGGGAAAACCCUAUUCACUCAUUGCAAGAGGUCCCGUGUUCGAUCCACGGACAGACCC